AUACGGAAGGUCCGGGCGUUAUCCGGAUUUAUUGGGUUUAAAGGGAGCGCAGGCUGAUUAUUAAGCGUGACGUGAAAUGUAGCCGCUCAACGGCUGAACUGCGUCGCGAACUGGUAGUCUUGAGUGCGUUCGAUGUAGGCGGAAUUCGUGGUGUAGCGGUGAAAUGCUUAGAUAUCACGAAGAACUCCGAUUGCGAAGGCAGCCUACAAGGCCUUUACUGACGCUAAAGCUCGAAGGUGCGGGUAUCGAACAGGAUUAGAUACCCUGGUAGUCCGCACGGUAAACGAUGGAUGCCCGCUGUUUGCGAUAUAUUGUAAGCGGCCAAGAGAAAGCGUUAAGCAUCCCACCUGGGGAGUACGCCGGCAACGGUGAAACUCAAAUGAAUUGACGGGG
rnacentral:rRNA from 1 species